UCCGAUGUGGUCUAACGGCUAGGAUUUUACGCUUUCAUCAUCUCAGCUGAGAGCCGUAAAGGUCGGGGUUCGAUUCCCCGCAUCGGAG
rnacentral:tRNA from 1 species